rnacentral:hammerhead_ribozyme from 1 species
ACCCAGCUGACGAGUCCUAAAUAAGACGAAACACGUGUUGUGGAU